CACACACUUGUUCCAAUAUGCAAGGAUAAAGUUGUCUGUCUCCAAAACUGGUACAAAGCCUGGGAAAUAUGAACCAGAUUUGUGUGUGUAUCUGAGUAACCAGUGCCAUUCACCUCACUGAUCCAAACAUCCUACAAGUUGCAGAUAUUGAUGGGAGUACUUUCUGGAGUCACCCUUUCAAUAGUUUAUGUCACCCCAAACAGCUAGAGGAGUUUAUUGUGAUGGAACGCAGCAUAGUCCGAGAUAUAAAAUGUGGUGCAGAUGCUGGAAUGAUGUAAAAAAGCAUACCCUCAGGGAAGUCUGGGUACAGAAGACAUCUGAAAUGAAUACAGAUAAACAGUAUUUUUGUCGUACUCAUUUGGGACAUCUUCUAAAUCCUGGAGAGCUGGUGUUAGGGUUUGAUUUGGCCAGCUGUAAUUUAAAUGAUGAGCAUGUCAAUAAAAUGAACUCAGAUAGAGUUCCAGAUGUGGUAUGAAUCAAGAAGGACUAAGACUGGACCAAACAUCAGUGAUGUAGAAACUGGAAAUUGAAGGAGCUUGCGAGAGAGAGAACAUGGAUACAGAUGAUGAAAGGUAAUACCAAGAUUUUCUUGAAGAUCUUGAAAAAGAUGAGGCAAUUAGAAAAAAUGUCAACAUUUACAGAGAGUCAACCAUCCCUGUGGAAAGCGAUGAUGAUGAAGAGCACCUCGAAUUAGUCUGGCUGAGAUGCCUGAAGACCUUCAUAUUUCCCAUGAUGCCACUGGUGAAGAAGGUGCAUCAAUG
rnacentral:lncRNA from 10 species